GGACCCGCACAAGCAGUGGAGCAUGUGGUUUAAUUCGAUGCAACGCGAAGAACCUUACCAGGGUUUGACAUCCUGCGAAUCUCUUGGAAACGAGAGAGUGCCUUCGGGAACGCAGUGACAGGUGGUGCAUGGCUGUCGUCAGCUCGUGUCGUGAGAUGUUGGUUAAGUCCCGCAACGAGCGCAACCCACGUCGUUAGUUGCCAGCAUUUAGUUGGGCACUCUAGCGAGACCGCCGGUGAUAAACCGGAGGAAGGUGUGGAUGACGUCAAGUCAUCAUGCCCCUUACAUCCUGGGCUACACACGUACUACAAUGCUACGGACAAAGGGCAGCAAACUCGCGAGAGCUAG
rnacentral:rRNA from 1 species